rnacentral:rRNA from 1 species
UACGGAGGGUGCAAGCGUUAUCCGGAUUCACUGGGUUUAAAGGGUGCGUAGGUGGCGCCGUAAGUGGGGUGUGAAAUUUCGGAGCUUAACUCCGAAACUGCAUUCCAUACUGCGGUGCUUGAGGACUGGAGAGGAGACUGGAAUUUACGGUGUAGCAGUGAAAUGCGUAGAGAUCGUAAGGAAGACCAGUGGCGAAGGCGGGUCUCUGGACAGUUCCUGACACUGAGGCACGAAGGCCAGGGGAGCAAACGGG